UACGAAGGGGGCAAGCGUUGUUCGGAAUUACUGGGCGUAAAGGGCGCGUAGGCGGUGCACUAAGUCAGGCGUGAAAGCCCUGGGCUCAACCCGGGAAUUGCGCUUGAUACUGGUGCGCUUGAAUCCAGGAGAGGUUGGUGGAAUUCCCAGUGUAGAGGUGAAAUUCGUAGAGAUUGGGAAGAACACCGGUGGCGAAGGCGGCCAAC
rnacentral:rRNA from 1 species